rnacentral:rRNA from 1 species
GGCCCUCCCGGGUUCUCCUAUCGCAAGGUGGGGGAGGUUCCCGGGUUGGCUGAAGGGUAGAGACGGGGGACCGGAUACGCCGGGCAGCCACGAUUUUGGUGGAUGGACCUCGCGUGUCCGCAACACUCGUCGUGCUCCCAA